rnacentral:rRNA from 1 species
UACGUAGGGUGCGAGCGUUGUCCGGAGUUAUUGGGCGUAAAGAGCUUGUAGGCGGUUUGUCGCGUCUGCCGUGAAAAUUCGAGGCUCAACCUCGAACUUGCGGUGGGUACGGGCAGACUAGAGUGUGGUAGGGGAGACUGGAAUUCCUGGUGUAGCGGUGAAAUGCGCAGAUAUCAGGAGGAACACCGAUGGCGAAGGCAGGUCUCUGGGCCACUACUGACGCUGAGGCGCGAAAGCUAGGGGAGCAAACGGG